GACGAACGCUGGCGGCGUGCUUAACACAUGCAAGUCGAACGGAGUGGCGAACGGGUGAGUAACACGUGGGGAUCUGCCUGGUAGUGGGGGCUAACGUUCGGAAACGGACGCUAAUACCGCAUACUAACAGAUGAGCCUCGGUCGGAUUAGCUAGUUGGUGAGGUAAUGGCUCCCCAAGGCGACGAUCCGUAACUGGUCGGCGAGGAGGAUCAGUUCAACUGGAACUGAGACACGGUCCAGACCCCUACGGGAGGCAGCAGUGGGGAAUAUUGGACAAUGGGAGAAAGCCUGAUCCAGCCAUGCCGCGUGUGUGAAGAAGGUCUGCGGAUUGUAAAGCACUUUAAGUUUUGAGGCGUUACCGACAGAAUAAGCACCGGCUAACUCUGUGCCAGCAGCCGCGGUAAUAC
rnacentral:rRNA from 1 species